AACGAACGCUGGCGGCAUGCCUAACACAUGCAAGUCGAACGAGACCUUCGGGUCUAGUGGCGCACGGGUGCGUAACGCGUGGGAAUCUACCCUUGGGUUCGGAAUAACAGUGAGAAAUUACUGCUAAUACCGGAUGAUGUCGCAAGACCAAAGAUUUAUCGCCCAAGGAUGAGCCCGCGUAGGAUUAGCUUGUUGGUGAGGUAAAAGCUCACCAAGGCGACGAUCCUUAGCUGGUCUGAGAGGAUGAUCAGCCACACUGGGACUGAGACACGGCCCAGACUCCUACGGGAGGCAGCAGUGGGGAAUAUUGGACAAUGGGCGAAAGCCUGAUCCAGCAAUGCCGCGUGAGUGAUGAAGGCCUUAGGGUUGUAAAGCUCUUUACCCGAGAUGAUAAUGACAGUAUCGGGAGAAUAAGCUCCGGCUAACUCCGUGCCAGCAGCCGCGGUAAUGUGACUACUG
rnacentral:rRNA from 1 species